CAGAUUGAAUUGCCGAUGUUAUGACCCCAGUAUGUACAUACACGCGGUUUCUCUCGUGAGUUAAAACUAUAAUCUGUGCAUGUGCUGUGUUUGCGUUCCGCGUUCGCAUUUCAAAAGUACAUGAUGUUUUUAUGUAAAACGAUUGUUAAUCAGCGCAAAGAGAGGUGAUUGUGGUUUAAUAAGAGAGUUAAAGUUUUUAAUAGUCGAGCAAUAUUGCAUACUGCGCUGGUAUGAAAAAGAAUCACGAAAUUAAAACUACGAGAAUGAAUUGAGUUAAUAAGCAGUCUAAAUAAAAUUUUAAUUUAACCAUUGAAGUAAGAAGUCACUUUCAAGAUUGCAUGCUCUACUUUCUAUCGUAUGUUCUUUUUGCAAAAUAGUGCUUAUUCUAGUUUUUCUUAACAGAAAGGAAACGCGCAGAAAAGGAAAGUGCAAAGACGGAAAGGAAUUUCUAUCCAUGUUGCAAAAACUUGUAGUAAUUAAGUAACAAUUUCAAGACAUUAAUUAUUUGUUAGAGAGAUAAAUUUACUUGAAAACUGUAAACUUGUGUAUAUGCACACACAUACACACACAAAAGUUAUGAAGCGGGUUUAUCAUAAGAAAAUCAUGCAGAUUUUGUUUAGCAGAGUCAUCCUUCCUAUUAAUAAAGUACAAAUUUUAUUAAUGAACGAUUAAUAAAUUGACUUUCAAUCAAACUAAUAAAUGUGAUAAUCCACAAUAAUAUUGUAAAUUAAUAUAUAAAUAAACGAAUAUCGAGACACUAUCAGAUUGAAUUAUAUUAUGUACAGAUUUAUAUAUAUAUAUAUAUAUAUAUUAACAAAAAUGCUAAUAAUAUAUAUCAUCAGAAGAACCGUAAACUGACAAUUUAACAAUCAUAAAUUAUUCGAUUAUUCGCAAACGAUAUAAUUCGUGUUCGUCAGUAGUAACUUUGAAUGAUUAAAGAGGUUUAUGAAGGUAUUUACACAAAUGCAAAUCACUUCGCACUUAUACGUUGUAAAAAGUAUUGAAUAUUCAUUGCACGAUAUUUAUUUUAUACAAUUAUGCGCUUAUAGUUUGAUAUUCUUGCGAUAUGCGAAAGUAAAACGUAAUUGAGAGGGAAAAAUGCGAUGAUUUUACAUCAUUAUCUCACCAACGACGUAUGAUUAUUUACUUGUGAAAAUCUUAAUAUUCAAAUGAAGUAGAUGCGUUCUGUUAGUUGCAUGUAAAUAAAAUCAAAUUACUAUACAUGUAGUAUAUUUCAUAUUUCUGUUUCAGAUUCGCCAUUCAAUUCUAUCGGAGAUGAAAAAUGUAAUCGUAGUUAUUUAUAAGAUACAUUGAAUAUAUAAGCAAAUUUGUUAACCGCCUGUUAUCAAAUUCAUAGCCACCGUAAUAAAAAUAAAGCAUGCUACAGCUUUUC